CAAAGGCUUGGUCCUGACUUUACUGUCGACUUUAACUAAACUUACACAUGCAAGUAUCCGCCCCCCUGUGAGAAUGCCCACAACUCCCUGCUUGGGAACUAGGAGCCGGUAUCAGGCACAAGCCCAGCUAGCCCACGACGCCUUGCUUAGCCACACCCUCAAGGGACCUCAGCAGUGAUAAAUAUUAAGCCAUAAGUGAAAACUUGACUUAGUUAAGGUUAAGAGGGCCGGUAAAACUCGUGCCAGCCACCGCGGUUAUACGAGAGGCCCAAGUUGACAAACAACGGCGUAAAGAGUGGUUAGGGGAUUUACUAAACUAGAGCCGAACGCUUUCAAAGCUGUUAUACGCACCCGAAAGUAUGAAACCCAAUUACGAAAGUAGCUCUACCUAUCCUGAACCCACGAAAGCUAAGGAACAAACUGGGAUUAGAUACCCCACUAUGCUUAGCCCUAAACAUCGAUUGCACCAUACACUCCAUAUCCGCCCGGGAAUUAUGAACGUCAGUUUAAAACCCAAAGGACUUGGCGGUGCUUAACAUCCAC
rnacentral:rRNA from 1 species